rnacentral:rRNA from 1 species
AACGAACGCUGGCGGCAUGCCUAACACAUGCAAGUCGAACGAGACCUUCGGGUCUAGUGGCGCACGGGUGCGUAACGCGUGGGAACCUGCCCUUAGGUUCGGAAUAACUCCCCGAAAGGGGUGCUAAUACCGGAUAAUGUCUUCGGACCAAAGAUUUAUCGCCUUUGGAUGGGCCCGCGUUGGAUUAGCUAGUUGGUAGGGUAAAAGCCUACCAAGGCGACGAUCCAUAGCUGGUCUGAGAGGAUGAUCAGCCACACUGGGACUGAGACACGGCCCAGACUCCUACGGGAGGCAGCAAUGGGGAAUAUUGGACAAUGGGCGAAAGCCUGAUCCAGCAAUGCCGCGUGAGUGAUGAAGGCCUUAGGGUUGUAAAGCUCUUUUACCCGGGAUGAUAAUGACAGUACCGGGAGAAUAAGCUCCGGCUAACUCCGUG